rnacentral:rRNA from 1 species
AUUGAACGCUGGCGGCAUGCCUUACACAUGCAAGUCGAACGGCAGCGGGGGAGAAGCUUGCUUUUCCUGCCGGCGAGUGGCGAACGGGUGAGUAAUACAUCGGAACGUGCCCUGUAGUGGGGGAUAACUAGUCGAAAGAUUAGCUAAUACCGCAUACGACCUGAGGGUGAAAGUGGGGGACCGCAAGGCCUCAUGCUAUAGGAGCGGCCGAUGUCUGAUUAGCUAGUUGGUGGGGUAAAGGCCUACCAAGGCGACGAUCAGUAGCUGGUCUGAGCGGACGAUCAGCCACACUGGGACUGAGACACGGCCCAGACUCCUACGGGAGGCAGCAGUGGGGAAUUUUGGACAAUGGGCGAAAGCCUAAUCCAGCAAUGCCGCGUGUGUGAAGAAGGCCUUCGGGUUGUAAAGCACUUUUGUCCGGAAAGAAAUGGCUCUGGUUAAUACCUGGGGUCGAUGACGGUACCGGAAGAAUAAGGACCGGCUAACUACGUGCCAGCCGCCGCGGUAA